CCAAACUUGGUCAUUUAGAGGAAGUACCGUAGGUGAACCUGCGGAAGGAUCAUUACAAGGUUUUCGGAAAAUGCCGCCUCUCUUAAGAGGAGGCGACAUUGAUAAACCACGAUCCAUCACUGUGUGUACUUAUUUGAGCUAAAAAAUUGGAGGGAGAGAGAGAGAGAGAGAUCUCUUUCUCUCCUCUCGCCAAAAAUUAGUUCUCAAAAUCUUUUUUUUUUCCUACGCUUUACUGUUGUCUGAUCUUAUACAGUAUAAUACAACUUCAACAACGGAUCUCUUGGCACUCGCAUCGAUGAAGAACGCAGC
rnacentral:misc_RNA from 1 species